UACAGAGGGGGCCAGCGUUAUUCGGAAUUAUUGGGCGUAAAGGGCGCGUAGGCGGCCGUGCAAGUGGAAGGUGAAAUCCCUCGGCUCAACCGAGGAACUGCCUUUCAAACUGCAUGGCUUGAGUCCGGGAGAGGUGAGUGGAAUUCCCAGUGUAGCGGUGAAAUGCGUAGAUAUUGGGAGGAACACCAGUGGCGAAGGCGGCUCACUGGACCGGAACUGACGCUGAGGCGCGAAAGCGUGGGGAGCAAACGGG
rnacentral:rRNA from 1 species